ACUGUCAAAAAACAGUGUGGUAAAAAGAAUAAGAAAAAAAUUUCUUUUCAAAAAACAGUUAAGUUAACAUUUUAAACUAAAUACAUUUUAUAAUAGAAAAUGAGUUGUAUUUUUAAUUAAUACAUGAUUUUUAUAGUCCGAAUUUAUAAAUAACUGAAUAAAUACAUCUGUUAUUUAUUUCCAGUGUUUUUAAGGAAAAAGCGGGGUGGAUUGGUAAUAAUCAAUGAUUAUAGAUCCAACAAGACUGGACGUUCCUUUUCCCCGAAAACGAGCGUCAUCUGCUUCUAUCCUACAUACGAUAAAAACGUAAAAACACUUUGCACUACACAAUUUAACGCCACUGCAAAUUGAUGGUAACAGACACAAUUUUGACUUCCUUUGAUUUUAUUUUCUAAAAAUCAGUCGAAAUCAGCAUAAUAUUUUUCCAAUUUCAAUUCCAAUAUAGAUGGCGCGGGGGUCAAAUUAGAAAAAUAAUUUAUGGAGGUUUUUUUUAAAUAUAAGUCUUGUGCUAAUUUCGACUAAUUGCUAAAAAAAUAGAAUCAAAGGAAGUCAAAAUUGUAUCCUUUUAGUUGUGAGUGCUUUAGAUUUUGGGAAUUUCCGAUUUCUCUAUAUCGCCAUUUCCCGUAAAGAAGUCUAAUUUGAACGUGUAAGUUUUUAGUAAUGAAGAAGACAAUAUGCAAACGACAACGAUACAAAAACGACGAACAAAAGUUUCUAUAAGCAAUCUGAAAAAACGCGUAUCAGGUGAAAAUGUCGAAAAAAAUGAAAAAGAGAAGAAUGAAGUGACAAAACAUAAACCGAUGGAGCUUAAAGAAACAACUAAAUAUAUACAACAGAUGUUAUCCUCUAACAUCGAUCCUUAUGAUAAACCUUUAACAUGGUGGGAAACGGACCAUGUUAGAUACGCGUAAGUUAAUAAAACUUUAA